GGCGGGUCUUUGAAUUAACCUAUAUAAAGUAAAUAGAUGCAAAACAAUUCAUUAACAUUCCUUGAGUAAACAUGAUUUCAUCAAAUAAGGAUAAUGUGUUCUUGGAGACUGCUGAAUUUGCAUGUUUCUAAUGCUUUGAAUGAACAUGAUUAAGUUGUGUCUGGGGUGGCCUCCAGUCCUGAGGUGGCGCUAGUGCACCACUUUCUAAGACAAGAAGAAGCCGGAAAGUUUCUAAGCCAGAGAGCCGUUCGCCUCAGUCAGCUCGGUCCUACUCUUCAGUCUCAUCUCGCUGGAAUAGUGUUGUCAUGUGUGAAGAUCUACACGAAAUUGAGACUUCUGGCACAGUGGCCUGCACUGUUCGAAGUCUGUAAGAUCAGUGCUGAAUUCAAAAUAAUCACCACAGUUCCCCUGCAAUCCAAGCAACUGUUGCUGAAUUGGCUGAUUUGUACAAGAUGCACCAUUUCUGAGGACUUCUGGCACAGUGGCCUGCACUGUUCAAAGUUCGCAAGGUAAGACAUUCAAUUCGGAUUGUCUUUAAUGUUUUUAUUUGUGAAUUACAGCGUUUUAUCUCCUUUCUUGAAUGUGUGUGUGGCUUUCUCCUAAUGUUAAUGAUUUGAUCGUUAAAUCCUUUGGGCUCUUUAUGUCUUUUCAGAUCAGUGCUGAAUUGAAAAGAAUCACCAGUCCCACUGCAAUGGCCAGCACUGUUCGAAGUCCACAAGGUAAAGCAUUCACUUUGGCCACAACCCUACCCAGUGCACCUUAACAACUUGACUCCUGCUUUAAAUUAGCUGUUAUCUGAAUGGGGGUGACUAAAUAUUCCAGUGGUAUAAGGAGCUGCUUCUCAAAUUUUUAUAUUUAAAUUUUGUCGUACUCUGACCAGUGAAUAUUAGAUUAUUGCUUAGUACUAGAAUUGGAGUUAUCUGAGACAAGAUGAUCUGAUCUGAGAAGUGUUGAUGACUACCUCCCUGGUGUUCCCACUCUCAGUGUGGAGUGUGACACUAUUUGUAUGCAUUGUGCUAUGCUCAACAUGACAUUGAGAGGCUUCAGUUGAAAGUGAGCAAGCUAUCUCACGGUUUCCUUAUUUCAAUACACUUGCUACACAAUUCAUAUGCAGCUAAACAAAAAGAAAUAUUAAUAUCUUCUAUGUAGAAACAAAAUGAGCACUACAAUGAAGGGUAUAAUAUCUGAGAGCACUUUGUUGACACAUGUU